UGCACAGAUGUUAAAGUAUCUAUUUAUAUAGAGAAGGAAACACCCUGUGGAGACUCUGGGACUUGCCAGGAAAAGCUACUCUCCGGGAAUCUAUUCUGCUCUAACUUCCUCUCCUGAGUCCAAUGGCUGGAAGCCUUCAUUCCUGACUUCCUUGCUCGCUCACUGUCUUUCUUCUCUUUUCAUAAUUUCCUCCUCCACCUCAAGAGGCUCCAGCCCUGAAGCCAUGCACGACUGUAGCUCCUAUCUUUGGGGUUUGGUCCAAUACCCCAUUUUUCAAAGGCAUGGGAGUCCGGCUCUUUUCAGAGUUGGUCUGGAUCACAGAGCUGUGAUGAGAAAAGUGCAUCAUGGGUGCGGAACUUCAGGGGGGAAGGAUAAUGAGUUUGUUGUGACGUGGUUAUUUUCUUAGAUCGUACAACCAACGUGGUAAUGCUGGCAUAAUAAUUCCCGGUUGCCAUUUUCUGACAUUUGAAAAGAUCUGAAGAUACGCCCCUUGGAUGCCUGCAGAGAAGCUCUGGGGCUUCAGUCAAUGACUCAGGGUAGCCACCGAACAUGAUGCUCGGGCAGUGGGUGCCACCUGGACUCCACUCUCCCCUCUCUCUGGGAUCAUAGAGUCCAAGGUGUUCUGUGGCCUCUCGGCCAAUCCCAGCAGCUCAGCGUGCAGAAGACCGAGGAGCCAUUGGAAUUCAACACAACACGAAAUAAUCAACAAAUUCGGGGAAUGUUAAUCUGACCAUCACCAGUUACAAAUGAUGUUUCAUGCUACCUUCUAUUCCUGCCUUCAUAAAUCAAGCUCUAAAUCUCCAGGAAAAAAUGUGCUCAGGAUGGCCAGAGAAAUGUCCUUCCAACUGUGCAUGGAAAGGUAUGAUUUUGUGCAGCAGGUGAAGGACUGGUUAGAGUAAGUGUGUGCUGAGCUUUUGUGUUUGAAAGCGAGCCUGUGCACUUCUAACGAUUGGAAGGUUUCCUUGCCUUCUCCGAUCUUACACACAGCAAGGACAGCAAAGCCUUCCAGACCUGCCUGUGACAUGCACUGCACAUUCUAAAGAUGCCUAUGCAAUGGAAAACACCACUGUCUGCUCCAGCACAGCUGCCAUUCUUCCAUCUUAUCGACCUUAAUGCAACAACUCCUCACAGGCAGAGAUUUUAAAAUGUGUUCUUGGCAGAAGAGAGACUCAAAGAUGGGACAAAUGUGUCAUUUAAAUGCCUGUUAAAAUGGAAACAGACAUAGUAUAGUCAGAGGAUUGUGGCAGCUAAGAACAUAGUCUCUGGAGCAAAUCUGCAUGGGUGGCAAUGCCAAGCACAUGAGGUCCUAGUUGUAUGAACUUAGGAAAAGAAAAAGAGAACAUAUAUCCCCCUACCUUUUGAUUUCCAACAGUCUACUGAGAGGCCAAGAUUAUUUGCAGGGAAAGAAAAGGGGUCAAAAUGUUUUGCCAGUAACUCCCAAAUCAUCUACAGCCAAGGAGAAAAGUGUUUCAAGACAGAGGUGCUCAAUGGUAUCAAAUACUGCCAACAGACCAAGUAAUACAUGCAUUGAAGUGUCUACUGGAUCUAGCUAUAUGAAUUUUUAAUUUAGGACACUUAGGCCAUACUGAAGCAAGGUGACAAAAUGAAUAGCUACAAUGUCUCGUGAAUCUUGGGUUUCCAUUCACCCUGGUAUUCAAGAGAAAUUCUUGCAUCAUGGAAGUUGCAGUUGGAUAGGACUUUCUCAGCUGAACACUGUCAUCUGCCAGAGCUUCAGGCAAGAACCCAGAACAGAUGAAACCCCAGACAUGACAAAAUAAGCCAAAGAAUACCAGGCCAAGGUGUGAAAGGCCAGAUGAGAACAAGCAGCGUACACGAUUCUGUUGCCAACAGAUCUCCCCUAACAGUGUCGUGCACCAAAUUUCCACAGUGAAUGUCAGGAAAAAAUGGCAAUUGAGAUGAAGAAACUGAGGCAGACAGAGGUGAAGAAACUUGCACAAGGUCAAAGAACAAUCUUUCAGAAAAUGGCAUUGCGUACUGAGGACAGUGAGAAAUAGGAGGUUAUGUUUCCUAUCAAAGCCCUCCAUGUAGAAAGGUGAGCUCUCAGAGAUGAUCUGAAUUAUCUUUGCUUCCACCGUUUCUGCCUAUUGCUACCUGAUCUGUCACAUCCAUGACUGAGAAAUAUUGUCAGCUGGAGAGGCUGAAGAAAUCUGAAAAAAGGCUGAAAGCUGGAACAACUGAUGGAAUUCUACGAGACUGUACAAACAAACAAACACUAGCAAAAGAAAUAAGCUGGACACAAGGGGAGGAUUCAUCAUCAAAUCAUUACAUGAUUUCAUGUUAAUGUGGGGAAGGGAAAUAUUUGUCAAUGGCUAUGUCUCAAACUGCCCCUGGAGAAGUCGAAAGAAUACCUGAAGCUACAUUAGAAGUACGAUUGAGAAAUCACUGAUAUAUUACUUCUCACUCCUUUAUCGCCAGGCAGUACAGUGAUUGCAAAUUGCAGUUAGAAUGGGAAUGUCGGCAUGUUGUUUAUUUUCAACAUGAUUCGACAUGAGAAUAACAAAAAUUCCUGAAGAAAAAUAAGUAGGCUUAUUACCGAAAUACCACCCACCAAACCUAAGAAGAGAGCAGCCUCUCCCUUGAGUAAUAAACCAGCUACAAAAGAUCAUUCCUGGGGAAUAUACGCGUUGCUGCUUGGUAUUCAAAAUACAGCGCUACUUAAUAGAAUUCCGGGUGCCGACGGUGAUUUCUCAGACAUCUGAAUCAUUUUCAUCUGUGUGAUUACAGCACGGAGUGGGUAUCUUCUGACAACAUAGAGGUGGUCUGCUUCUUAGCUGCUCUACAAAAGUUUGGAAGUCAUUCCUCGUUCCAUUAUUUCAGGAUUGACUUCCUCAGCCCAAACGUGGGUAGACACACAACAAUCUCUCUGCCCACACAUGAUGGGAUGCUCAGGUCUUC
rnacentral:lncRNA from 1 species